UCUCCGUUGGUGAACCAGCGGAGGGAUCAUUACCGAGUGCAAACUCAUAACCCUUUGUGAACCUAUAUCUGUUGCUUCGGCGGCUCGCUCUCGGGCGAGCCCGCCGGUAAUAUCAGUAUCUCUGUUUGAACCCGACGAUACUUCUGAGUGUUCAUAGCGAACAGUUAAAACUUUUAACAACGGAUCUCUUGGCUCUA
rnacentral:misc_RNA from 1 species